rnacentral:RNase_P_RNA from 1 species
CAGCUGGACCGGACGGUCGCUGCCGCCCGUCGAGGGCGGUAGAGGAAAGUCCGAACUCCACAGAGCAGUGUGCCGGAUAACGUCCGGGAGGAUGAUCUAAGCUUGCAGGUCUUCUGCAAGCUUGAUUGGUCCGACGGAAAGUGCCACAGAAAAUAUACCGCCGCGCCGUCGUUGUCAGUUCUUUGCUGGCUUGAGUUGGAUUUGUCAGUUGUUCAAUUCCAGCUGUUAGCAAGGAUUGACGACGGCGGCGAGGUAAGGGUGAAAAGGUGCGGUAAGAGCGCACCGCCGCCGCAGCAAUGCGGCGGGCAGGGUAAACCCCACACGGAGCAAGACCAAAUAGGGAGGGACUAUCCUGGCCGAACCAGGGUGCGUGCCGGCUCGGCGCGCCAGACCUCCGGGUAGGUCGCUUGAGCCCGGCAGCAAUGUCGGGCCCAGAGGAAUGACCGUCCUGCUGGUAUUCCAGCAGACAGAAUUCGGCUUAUACGGUCCGACUGCCAC